rnacentral:lncRNA from 1 species
GAGGGCGCAGACCCCUUCUGUAUAGGUAGGGUCCUGGGAGUCCAGUUUUGAUACACCUCAGUGGGCCAAAAUGUUCUUGUGUAUGACAAGGAAAGACUUGCCAAACAUACACCUUAUAGUAUGGGUUAAGACAUCUGUGAUGGGCUGAGGUGGGCUGUGUCAGGGUGCCUCAGUUUUAUCUCCUUCCCCAGGCUGCACCCCCAGUGUCUCUUCCCUGGGCUUUCAGCCAGAGCUUGACAGAGCCAUUGCUGCCCUGGCGUCUGUUCUUUCUCAGGCAUAUGGGCCACUGGCUGGGAUCAGCAGGAAGGCUUCUGGUCAGUACAAUGAGCGGCCUUCAUCUAAUAGUCAGCAUGGCCCACAUCUGAUCAGCCAGCCUCCACCCUCUGCCUGGGAGCCUCAGAGCACAAGACCCAAGCAAGACCCAAAACCUCUGUGGCUUCCCCACGGUGAUGCUAAAGAAAGAAGCACCCAAAGCCCAGGUCCUGGGACAUGGCUUCUCAAGGCUGGCCUUGGGCGUGGAGCUGAGGCUGAGCUACAGGUAGGUGCAUCUCCU